GGUACAGGCUUCUUAUGACAGCCCUUGGAGGGUGGAGGCAAGAUCAAAGUUCAAGGCCAUUUCCCUCCUUGCAGCAAGUUGGAGGUCA